AUACUUACCUGGUAAGGUUGAUAGCAUCAUCAUGGAGGUGGUUUUCCAAGGACAAGCCUUUUCCAUUGUAUUCAAGAUUUGCCAACUCCUGAAAUUUCCCCAAAUGUGCCAAGUGUGAGGAACUGACUGUGUAAUUUGUGUUAGUGGAAUACUGAGUUGACAUUUUCCCC
ensembl:snRNA U1 U1 spliceosomal RNA